rnacentral:rRNA from 1 species
GGCUCGAGGACGAACGCUGGGCGGCGUGCCUAACACAUGCAAGUCGAACGGAGUCAAGAAGCUUGCUUUUGACUUAGUGGCGGACGGGUGAGUAACGCGUGAGUAACCUGCCUCUGAGAGGGGAAUAACGUUCUGAAAAGAACGCUAAUACCGCAUAAUGUAUCGAAGCCGCAUGACUUUGAUACCAAAGAUUUUAUCGCUCGGAGAUGGACUCGCGUCCGAUUAGUUAGUUGGUGAGGUAACGGCUCACCAAGACCGCGAUCGGUAGCCGGACUGAGAGGUUGAUCGGCCACAUUGGGACUGAGACACGGCCCAGACUCCUACGGGAGGCAGCAGUGGGGGAUAUUGCGCAAUGGGGGCAACCCUGAACCGCAGCAACGCCGCGUGAAGGAUGAAGGUUUUCGGAUUGUAAACUUCUUUUAUCAGGGACGAAGCUUGACGGUACCUGAUGAAUAAGCUCCGGCUAACUACGUGCCAGCAGCCGC